AUUGAACGCUGGCGGCAGGCUUAACACAUGCAAGUCGAACGAGUGGCGGACGGGUGAGUAAUGCUUGGGAAUCUAGCUUAUGGAGGGGGAUAACUACUGGAAACUGUAGCUAAUACCGCGUACCAUAGGAUGAGCCCAAGUGGGAUUAGGUAGUUGGUGGGGUAAAGGCUCACCAAGCCGACGAUCCCUAGCUGGUCUGAGAGGAUGACCAGCCACACGGGGACUGAGACACGGCCCAGAAGCCUACGGGAGGCAGGAGUGGGGAAUAUUGCGCAAUGGGGGCAACCUGACGCAGCCAUGCCGCGUGAAUGAAGAAGGCCUUCGGGGUGUAAAGUUCUUUCGGUAGCGAGGCGUUAACUACAGAAGAAGCAACGGCUAACUCCGUGCCAGCCGGCGCGGUAAUAC
rnacentral:rRNA from 1 species